rnacentral:rRNA from 1 species
UACGUAGGGCGCGAGCGUUGUCCGGAUUUAUUGGGCGUAAAGAGCUCGUAGGCGGCUUGUCGCGUCGUCUGUGAAAACCCGCGGCUCAACUGUGGGCUUGCAGUCGAUACGGGCAGGCUGGAGUUCGGUAGGGGAGACUGGAAUUCCUGGUGUAGCGGUGAAAUGCGCAGAUAUCAGGAGGAACACCGGUGGCGAAGGCGGGUCUCUGGGCCGAUACUGACGCUGAGGAGCGAAAGCGUGGGGAGCGAACAGG